UACGAAGGGGGCUAGCGUUGCUCGGAAUCACUGGGCGUAAAGGGUGCGUAGGCGGGUCUUUAAGUCAGGGGUGAAAUCCUGGAGCUCAACUCCAGAACUGCCUUUGAUACUGAAGAUCUUGAGUUCGGGAGAGGUGAGUGGAACUGCGAGUGUAGAGGUGAAAUUCGUAGAUGUUCGCAAGAACACCAGUGGCGAAGGCGGCUCACUGGCCCGAUACUGACGCUGAGGCACGAAAGCGUGGGGAGCAAACAGG
rnacentral:rRNA from 1 species